UUCACUCCGGCCAUGAGGAAAAGCUUCCAGAUGCCUCCACCAACAAGGGAAAGCUGACGGCGAGGACACCAGUAUGAUGGUCUGGAAUGGCCAGUGUGACCAUGGCUGUGAGAUGUUUUGGCAGAAGUCAGCAAAGAAAGCAAAAGAGGCUGACAAAGGAAAGACUUCAGGUGAAAACAAGAGGGGCCCAAGUAUGGAAGGCCUGCCCAAAGCUGAUGUCUUUUUAACCAGUUACAGCCAAGGCAGGCCUGUGAGGAAAGGAAGCCUCCUGCUUAAGAAAUCUUGAUUCUGAAUGUGGCUAAUUCAAUGCAAGGUGUUGAAAGAUCCUCGCAGAAUGUAAAAGGACACAGAAGCCCUGAAAUUGGCAAGAUAGACGUCAGUGUUAGCAGAACUAGCUUCACUGAUUUAGAA
ensembl:lincRNA Gm44427 predicted gene, 44427